AAUAGGAGGAAGCUGAGCCUCCCCGGAGGAGCACGUGCCCUCAGAGCCGUAAGGCAGGAGCAGAGACUGCCUGAGUUUGCAGCGCGAGCCCAGGGGGCUUCCCUGGGACUUGGCGACCGUCCUGUGCGGUCGGACGUGCAGGCAAAUCCCCGGUCGGCUGCGCCUGGCGUGCACAGAGCCCUCCUACUCCCGUCCUACACUGCUUUUCCGUUUAUCUGCAGCGUAAAAGCCAGCGUUACUUUGUUUUUGUUUCAACUGCUUUUCCAGUGCCACGGGAUUUCAGGCAAAGUGCCUUGGACGGUAGACAUGCCUAUUCCUCUCGUUUCCUUAUUCCUGGAAUGUGCUCACGUACCGUCCGGCCACGCAGGGACCCGGGACGCUCAGCCCUUUCUGCGCCCUCGCCCUCUCCAGGGCGGCACCUGACCAGAACUGCCAGCAGACACCCCUAGCACCCCGGAAGACGGGCUAUGGUUCUCCGGCCACCUCCUGCCCGUUUCUCAUUAAAGCCUGGGAAGAAGGAGGGUGGUUGUGUCCCAGGAGCUGGACUGGCACCCUCAGUGAGGUUGCAGGGCUCUCCCGGAGAACACAAACCAUUCCUCAGGACAUCAGCAGCAGGCAAGUCCCCAGAUGGUCCCAUCAAGACAAAGACAAGCCACUCCGGAAUCCUGUCUGAAUACAGACAGAUGGGAGCAUCUCUCAGGCCAGGAGUGCCAGCCGUGUCCUCUCCCAGCCCACAUGGUGACUGCUGCUUUGGCCUUGGUGACAGCCUGUCCUGCUCUUGGCAGGCCUCCUGGGGGAUGAGGUUUAUGAAGAUUCCAGUGUAUACGUCCCUCCUCCUGCUUCCUGACAGUGCUCAACUCAGAGCCAGCCCCCUCUCCCCUUAGGCCACCCCUGGCCAGCUGGCACACACACAGCCUGUGGCAAGACUCUAGCCUCUCCCUAUACCCUCCGCAGCGCCAUGGCACAUUCUUGCAGAAUGGAACAGUAAAUCCAGUUGUAGUUUAACAACAGGUGUGUCUCUGGUAGGCACACUAGGCAGCAGCUCAUUGACCUGUAUUUAAAAUAUGAACAUGUGCAUGACUGCAAAGGCAUAGAUCCUCACUUUCUACAAACUGGAAUUGCUGUUCUCAAAGUUUAAAACCACAUUUGCAAUACAUGAGAUCCACAGCCUGAGUGGAAGGAGACACAUGCAGGGGGUGGGCUGGGCCUGGGGGCCAGGUCACCCUUGGGCAGAGAAUGUGGGAGCAUGGAGAGGGUGUGUGGGGCAGGAAGGGUCAUGGAGUGCUUUGAGCAAAGAGUGUGUGAUCCUGCCUGCCCUUGGUGCCGUCCACUGGGGCUGGUCAGCGAGGCCGAGUCCAUCAUGGUGAUGGGGACACGUGACAAAACUAGAAGCCCUGGGGGAGCUGGGCAAAGGGAGCAGGCACCCAUGAUGCUGCCGCUGCAGUUUUCUAUAAGUUCUAUAAUUAUUUCAAAGUAAAAUAUUUUAAAACGA